ensembl:lncRNA
AGAGAGAGAGAGGGUUAGCUAUACCAGGUGCAAUCACUUAGAUUGCACCUGGUAUAGUUAGUUGUCUAACAAUCAAGUCACCAACAUAAUAGGUAGCUGUAAUCGGUGGAAGUUGCAGGCACUCCAUGUUAUCUGAGUCAGCAGGGUUGUUUUUGCUAGCUGUUGGACACUCAGCGAUAGUACUUGCUGGUUUCGUCGGUGGAAGUUGAGAAGCGGGACUACCCGGGACAACGGUGUUAGUGUCAGCAGUUGAGGGGGGCAACAUCGCGGAUGGAGGGCCCGACAGGCCAUAGUCAAGUGGAGAGGGUGCCAUCAGGAGCAGCCAUGGCACCCAAUGGGGCCUCCGACGAUGGUGAGGAGACCCUGGGGCGCUUGUCUGAAAUGUAGCGGGGACUUAAGGAGUCGUCGCUUGGAGACCUGUUCUGUUUGGAGGUAGCUUUGCGGCUUCCAUUUCGUUUCACCGAGACCGAUGUUGGAUGUCCAGGGAAGGAAGUAGGCAAGGGGCACAGCACUGGGCUAAGGUCGUCAGGAUGCCAAGGGACCCACACAGACAACGCUGGAAGAUCAGCCAGAGGAGCAAAGGAAUUUGAAAGCUCCAACUCUGGAUCAUCGCCACCACGGCGCAGAGGGACAGGAGGAGAGGAGCGUCCACUCUUGCCACCAGCCACCACCAUGGACCAGCUGGAAGGACCUGGGAUGGGGUUCGGAACAACACCCGCUGUUGAGGCACCAGGACAAGGUAGCCAUGGUUCCUCUAUCGAGGUCUAUGGAGAGUUCCCGACUUCCGACUCGGAAAGGUGGCGCCGGAGGUAUUUGGAACACACCAUAACAUCCUUCACUUCGACCGGCAGCUUGGUGAAGACUGCUUGGCUUCUUGCUGUCUCCAUGGAGAUCGCAUCUUCUUCAUUGUUCUCCAAAAUCCUCUCCACAUAAGAAAAUCCACCUGGGAAAGUUUGAGGGAAGGUAUGAUGUCAUCCUGCCAGCAGCCAGCAACGACGUGUUACUUGGAGCCUGCAGCUCUUUGCUCUCUACACCCCAAAACAAGGCUGUGCUCAUGCCACCACGGAUGCUGUGGAGUGACAUCUCUUCCUGACAUCAGCCAAAUGGCAGGUGGGCAACCUCAUGGCUAGCCCAGUUCUGCUGCCAUGGUAUACCCCAGUACUCCUGCCGGGCGCUUCUGCUUGGGCCACUACACCAGAUGACACGAUACCCCCUGCUGAUGGUUGGGUCCACUGAGGAUCUGUAAGGGGUUCCUUGUUCUCCAGCAGACAGCAAUCCUCUACCCAGCAAACAACCACUUACACCUCACGUUGUGUCCUAACAAACACUGCCAAGACCUUGUGGCAUCUGCUGGACCCGCUGUUGGCAAGCUACAUGUAUCCUGAUUGGAUUCCAAACAAUAGACUUACAACAAUUCAGGAAUAGCACGUUUGUUGCAACAACAGCAGAUAUAUCAUGAUUCCCUGCCUCGUAAUCACCACAUGACUUUCAAGAGGAGAUAAGAAUAUUUGAAGAAGUGUGAAGAAGAAUCGCUUGUUCAGUGAAUUACAGUCACCAUAGUACUUUUUUUAUAAUUUUUAUUCAAAUGCUUGCAAUUAGGUGUUGGUUGGCAGCCUACUCGAUGUUUUGAGUGUCGUGCUGUGGAAGCUAUUUUUAUAGCUCCCAAAGUAACGUUUGUCAGCAAGUCGAAGAAUUAGGGGAUUUGAUUAAGCGCUAAUAUCUGGACACAUCGCACGCACACACACACGCACGUACGCAUGCACGCACGCACGCACACACACACACACACACACACACACACACACACACACACACACACACACACACAUGCACUCACACACAUACAGUUGUCUCAUAGCCCUGUCACUAUGGCCACCAGCGUUGGUGGUGGGCGGGAGACUCAUUGGUGGCGUCCUCGUUACAUAACAGGAACCUGUGAGAAGCGCUCUGUUUGUUUUCAAGCACAGGCAAGUCAUCAAGGACUGCAUAUGGCCACCAACACAUACUGAUCAGCACAGUCACCAUGCACGGUUCAAGAGCCACAGAGUGAACCAUAAGGGUUCACAGUCAUCUCACUGCAGCAUGUUUCCAAGACUUCUGAAUAUUUUUGUGGGUGAUUUCGAAACACGUAUCAAUAAAAUAAAAUUCAAUAAACUCAAAGAACUGUAACAACCCAGAAGUACCGGUACAAGACAAUAAAGUGAAGUGUCUAAAUGUUGUGCUGUACAAGGUCCAUUAAAGUGUUUUAAAGACUAAAAUAGCAUAAAUAUAUAUGAGGAGUGAGUAUGGAAUUGGUUUUCAAAAGGAGUGACCUGUAUCUUUGUCCGGAGGGUAGGUGGUCUUGAUGGUGGUGCAGAUUUGGUUUUGUCUGA